AUUGAACGCUGGCGGCAGGCCUAGCACAUGCAAGUCGAACGGUAACAGGAAACAGCUUGCUGUUUCGCUGACGAGUGGCGGACGGGUGAGUAAUGUCUGGGAAACUGCCUGAUGGAGGGGGAUAACUACUGGAAACGGUAGCUAAUACCGCAUAACGUCGCAAGACCAAAGAGGGGGACCCUCGGGCCUCUUGCCAUCGGAUGUGCCCAGAUGGGAUUAGCUUGUUGGUGGGGUAACGGCUCACCAAGGCGACGAUCCCUAGCUGGUCUGAGAGGAGGACCAGCCACACUGGAACUGAGACACGGUCCAGACUCCUACGGGAGGCAGCAGUGGGGAAUAUUGCACAAUGGGCGCAAGCCUGAUGCAGCCAUGCCGCGUGUAUGAAGAAGGCCUUCGGGUUGUAAAGUACUUUCAGCGGGGAGGAAGGGAGUAAAGUUAAUACCUUUGCUCAUUGACGUUACCCGCAGAAGAAGCACCGGCUAACUCCGUG
rnacentral:rRNA from 1 species